UGAAUACGUUGUUUUAAGAUUUCCCUGAGUUUGUUAGACACAGACUAGGAAUAAGAGUUUCUGGGCAGUAUGACCCCAAGUUUAUUUUUGUUUAUUUUAUUUUAGUCAGUUGAAGUGUACUAAGGAAUAUGGAUUGGUCAGAACAUUAGGACAAUCCUGCUUUUAAGAUGUAUUACAUUAAUAAGUCAUCACAAUUAAGGUCUAAUGAGGAGAGUGAUGAUAAUUAAUUUAAAGUAUUCUUUCCAAGUUCUUUUAAAGUAAACCAUUCUCCGAUUGAAUGUAAAGUUUGUUACAACAAGG